rnacentral:rRNA from 1 species
AGUCGAGCGAGAAAGUAUCUUCGGAUAUGAGUAGAGCGGCGGACGGGUGAGUAACGCGUAGGAAUCUACCUAGUAGAAGGGGAUAGCCCGGGGAAACUCGGAUUAAUACCGUAUACCUCCUAAGGGAGAAAGAGGGCCUCUCUUGAAGCUCUCGCUAUUAGAUGAGCCUGCGUAAGAUUAGCUUGUUGGUAAGGUAAUGGCUUACCAAGGCUACGAUCUUUAGCUGGUCUGAGAGGACGAUCAGCCACAUUGGGACUGAGACACGGCCCAGACUCCUACGGGAGGCAGCAGUGGGGAAUAUUGGACAAUGGGCGCAAGCCUGAUCCAGCCAUACCGCGUGUGUGAAGAAGGCCUUCGGGUUGUAAAGCACUUUAAGCAGGGAGAAAAAGCAAUAAGUUAAUACCUUAUUGCCGUGAUGUUACCUGCAGAAUAAGCACCGGCUAAUUCCGUGCCAGCAGCCGCGGUAAUACGGAAGGUGCAAGCGUUAAAUCGGAAUUACUGGGGCGUAAAGCGCGCGUAGGUGGUUU